rnacentral:rRNA from 1 species
AGUGAACGCUGGCGGUAGGCCUAACACAUGCAAGUCGAACGGCAGCACAGUAAGAGCUUGCUCUUACGGGUGGCGAGUGGCGGACGGGUGAGGAAUACAUCGGAAUCUACUUUUUCGUGGGGGAUAACGUAGGGAAACUUACGCUAAUACCGCAUACGACCUACGGGUGAAAGCAGGGGAUCUUCGGACCUUGCGCGAUUGAAUGAGCCGAUGUCGGAUUAGCUAGUUGGCGGGGUAAAGGCCCACCAAGGCGACGAUCCGUAGCUGGUCUGAGAGGAUGACAACGCACACGGGAACUGAGAAACGGCCCAGAACCCUAGGGGGGGCAGCGGGGGGGAAUUUUGGAAAAUGGGGGAAAGCCUAAUCCAGCCAUACCGCGGGGGGGAAGAAGGCCUUCGGGUUGUAAAGCCCUUUUGUUGGGAAAGAAAAGCAGCAGGUUAAUACCCCGCUGUUCUGACGGUACCCAAAAAAAAAGCACCGGCUAACUUCGG